GAAGAUCCAGAAGCAGGGGUGCACAAAAUAAAGGCUACUAAAUCCUCUCCCAAGGUUAAAAUCACCAGGCCAUUUAAAAAAAUGUAAUCUUGAGUACUUUCUAAAUGACAUGGAACUUUUAAGCUACAGGAACAGGAAAAAGGAAACAAUGAACUGACACUGCCCUCAGGGAAAGGCAGUGUUAUAUAGCUGAAUAACGAGCAGCCAAUUGGCAAGAUUUAUCUGCUGAGUGCUGAUGGAGAUUGUUGAAAUCAAGCCCUCCAACCCCCACCCCACAAAAGUAUAAAACCCUACAAUUGCAAUACUCCCAAACAAAGAUAAUGUCC